rnacentral:misc_RNA from 1 species
GGAAAAAAGUCGUAACAAGGUUUCCGUAGGUGAACCUGCGGAAGGAUCAUUAUUGUAUACCCGAGGUGCGAGGGCUGUCGCUGACCCGAAAGGUCGUGCACGCCCGAGUGCCCUCACACACAUCCAUCUCACCCCUAUGUGCACCACCGCGUGGGUCCCCCUUUGGCUUGUUCGGAGGGGGGCUUACGUUUUCACACAAACUUUGUAUGCAGUGUAGAAUGUAUUUUUUGUUUUUGCGAUCACGCAAUCAAUACAACUUUCAACAACGGAUCUCUUGGCUCUC